CCUGGAGUCACUGGGCACCACAGUCCAGCCAUGGCUGCCUAACCAUCACUUGGCUGGAAAGAGUCAGCAGCGAUCAUGCUGUGCUGCUUUCCCAGGCCUCGAGGCCGCAGCAAUAGGACCCCGCGCAGGGAAAGCACUUGGCGCGAGUGAGAGGACGGAUGGCUAAGUCCCCGUGCUUCAGGCCACUCACCAGAUGCUGAGAUAAGAAGAAAAAGCGAGGGCCGGGGAUUUAGCUCAAUGAUUUCACCGCCUGCUGCUCAAGCGCAACGACCUGAGUUCGAUCUCCGGGACCAAAAAAGAAGAAGAAAAAGCAAAAGGGCUCCGUGAACUGGAAGCUGUGGGUGGCGUCUGCCCAUGGAGAGGGAGAGCCUGGGAGAAAAAACAACUAAGGUCCAGCAAGGAGCUACAAGCAACUGGGAAACAGAUUAAUGAGGUAGAGAAUCCAACAUUCUUAUCAGGCCUGAAGGACUACUUCAGUGCCAUGUUCUUAAUGACACCAGUGGACAGAGAAGUCCAAGUGUCUGGAAAAUGCUCGAGCACAGAAUGCUGUAUCACAUCUGACUUCUCUCAAGGAAAGAUGAGCAGAUUUGCCUACUCUGGAAGCUUUAUGUGACUGCAACCAGCAUCUCAAAACGGAACAUUAAAGUUAGAUUUUUUUCUAGAGAUGAGCAGCUCCUCCAAGCUUCCUCCUGCUGAGCCCAGAGCCCUCACUCCCUCCUCUCCUCAGCCCAAGAGCAGCGGCAGAACAGCAGGCUCACCCCGGAGGCUGGGGCCACAGUGUCUUCCCCACAGAAAGAGGAGGAGGAGCCUGGGACACUGGAGUGAUGGAGCAGAUGUGGAGAUUGGUCCGCUCCCCGCUGUCCCUUUUAGAAAAGACCCUGUCCACCUGCACAUGGGGAGAUGGUGAUUUGAGGCCCCUCUAUCUCCUUGGAGUGAGCUUUGAAUAAAUUAUUCCUUUUUUAAAAUUUUAUCAAAAUAAAUGACCUCCUUUGACUUAAGCCAGUGGCUAGCUGAUGAACCUGAGCUACUGAGUGUCCAGGAUCAUAAACAGAAUCCAACAACCGCCUUGUGUCUAUGUCCAGCUUUUCUCAGUACAGUGUCUCUGAGGCUCUUCCUUGUAGCAUGUAUUAUUACUUUGUUCCCUUUUCUGCACAAAGGACUUUUA